rnacentral:lncRNA from 1 species
GGCUGUACCACUCAGCAGAGGGUGGAGAUGGGACGACCUCUGCCUGGGGUUCCGGGAAGCUUUUGCAAAGGAGGUGGCAUACUCAAAUGAGGAGAUACUUUGGAAGCCUGGAAAGUUAAAUAGAGAAAACGGCAUUUGCAAGAUUCUCGGGUGUGAACUAGCAUGACUUAGGUUCGGAACUAGACACAAACCUGGCUGCUUUAACCACGGCCUCUGGGAGGGCUACAGCUGAGAAAAUCCGCUGUCAGGAAGAAGUGAAUAGAACUAACAAGACUAUUGAGCGCGCCAACAGAUUAGUGAAAGGUCUGGAGGUGAGGUCCUACAGGGCAGACUAAUGAAGCAGGCUGCAGAAAGCACUUCUUUGUUAUACACUACUGAUCUGGCAAUAACAGCAGCACUUAGCAAAGAGCCUGAUGAGCUGAAAAAAUUAUGUCAUUAUCAUUCAUUUUUUUCAUAAUAGAAACAUGUUUUUGACCUUUACAUUUUCUUACAUUUUACCAUGCUGCGGCCUGUAUUAACUGUAAGAUUACCUAGUGACUAGCAUAUUCACGAAACCCUACAGGAAAGGGAACAGCCGCUCUUUCCUGAGUAUUGACAAAUAAAGUUGAUGCAAUAAAAAAAAGCAAAGACUUUAUUUGGAACAAU